rnacentral:rRNA from 1 species
GAUGAACGCUAGCGGCAGGCUUAAUACAUGCAAGUCGAGGGGCAGCAUGAUUGUAGCAAUACAAUUGAUGGCGACCGGCAAACGGGUGCGGAACACGUACACAACCUUCCAAUAAGUGGGGAAUAGCCCAGAGAAAUUUGGAUUAAUACCCCGUAACAUAACGAUGUGGCAUCACAUUGUUAUUAUAGAUUUUUCGCUUAAUUAUGGGUGUGCGGCGGAUUAGAUAGUUGACGGGGUAACGGCCCACCAAGUCUACGAUCAGUAGCUGAUGUGAGAGCAUGAUCAGCACACGGGCACUGAGACACGGGCCCGACUCCUACGGGAGGCAGCAGUAAGGAAUAUUGGACAAUGGACGCAAGUCUGAUCCAGCCAUGCCGCGUGAAGGAUUAAGGUCCUCUGGAUUGUAAACUUCUUUUAUAAGGGACGAAAAAAGGCUUUUCUAAGUCGUCUGACGGUACCUUAUGAAUAAGCACCGGCUAACUCCGUGCCAGCAGCCGCCGCGGUAA